GGAAGGGAAGGUUAAAGCAGUGGCUGGAAUGCAAGGUGUCAGUUGUGCGCUGAAGCUACUCAGGAAAACCUUAUUCGUCGAGGCAUUUCGCUUAUAGAUGUUCAAUGUAGGUUUUGUGUAUAUGAGAUAAAUGCAGUCGGGUAGUUGGCUAGCUCACUCUUCAGUUUUUAGCAUGAUUUUGAAACGUGGUUUCGUUCAGCAACGUUAACGGAAGUUGUAUAUCUGCACGUGUUGGCCCCUUUUCUUUAAUUAGAUGAACCGAAGAUGAAGGCUGCAGUGAAAUGGACAGGGUGGACCUCCUGACAUGCAUGGUCGAGCUGCUGAAGUACAAACGUGUUCAGGUAAAGCUGUGACACAACUGCACCGAUGAGCCUUAACAUUAUUACCACUGACAGGUGAAGUGAAUAACAUGGAUUAUUUUGUCUCAAUGGCACCAGUGCAGUGGGUGGGAUAUAUUAGGCAGCAAGUGAACAUUUUGACCUUGAAGCGAUGCUUUGGGUAGUGAUCACCCGGGGAUCCUUGGGGUCCUGCCAUUCGUGUGCAUAGGUUUAAGGGAGUCCAUGCCUUAAGGAGUCGGGGCUGUUUUGGUAGCAAAGGGGGCACGUAUUCAAUAUUAGGUGGGUGGUAAUAAUGUUAUGGUUGAUUGGUGCAUAUCUACCAUAAGCACAUUGACUGGUUUGUCUCUGUUUUGAUUUAUUGCCAAAUAAACAUAAUUUGUAAAAGUUGCUGUUUCUUGUUGUUUUUUGUGAAUGGUGGGGUGUCUUUGGGGAAAAUUGUUUUCCAACCUUUUCUGACAUUUUAUAGCUUCAUCGCCAGACUUUAGAGCUGCUUUAUUCCAGUUGUGCUGACUUAAGCAGGGAUAGAGGAGUCUCAUUUGCAUUCAGUGACCUUUGCACUCCGUUAAUGUUGUCAGAAUUGGAUGGAAGUGUUAUUGUGUUAUUAAAUUUACUCGAUUACCGUAUUUGAGCAUCACUUUUUUUCCUUCAGUGGUACAUUACUUCACACUUCACAGGGAGUUAUUCUUUUUAUCAACUGACACUUUGAGCUACUGGCUACUUCUCAGAUUUAGGUUUUAUAUUGAAAAUGCAUAUUAAAGUCACAAUGACACAUUCC